AUCCCAUGGUGUGGAUAACACCUUAGAAGAUCUUUAUACCUUUCCCAUGUUUCAUAAAGGCUUUCAUCAUCCCUAAGUUAGCAAGAAGUCAAGUCAUUUCUUAGUUU